AGCUUUGCGGUGAGAUCUUUAAGGCUUUGCUUCUCUUCCUUAGGCUUAGCGGAGAUAACGGUGUUGAGAUCGUAACGGAGGUACGAUGCUCUUAAACGGAGAUCGUUCUGAACAUAGGGCCAAGCUUUUUUGUCGAUAAAUGACUUAACGUUGAUGAUCUCUUUAGCAGAAUCUUUGGCUCUAGCUGCAGCUUCUGUUGGUGACAAUGGUUGUAUGUAAAAUCUAUCUUUCAAUGCCAAUGAAAAGUCUCUUGCUUGGUCUGAGUUAUCUGUUCCAG
rnacentral:sRNA from 1 species